UACGUAGGGUGCGAGCGUUAAUCGGAAUUACUGGGCGUAAAGAGCGCGCAGGCGGUCGUCCAAGUCGCGUGUGAAAGCCCCCGGCUCAACUGGGGAGGGUCACGCGAUACUGGUCGACUCGAAGGCAGGAGAGGGUAGUGGAAUUCCCGGUGUAGUGGUGAAAUGCGUAGAUAUCUGGAGGAACACCGAUGGCGAAGGCUGCCUUCUGGGCCAACACUGACGCUCAUGCACGAAAGCGUGGGGAGCAAACAGG
rnacentral:rRNA from 1 species